rnacentral:rRNA from 1 species
AUCGGAGAUUGAAAAUGAUUUUUGUAUAUCUUUAUUUAUCUGGCAGGACAUCAUGAACACCGACAUUUUGAACGCAUAUCGCAGUCCAUGCUGUUAUGGUACUUUAAUUAAUUUUAGAGUGCGGCUUGGACUACACAUGGUUGAGGGUUG